rnacentral:rRNA from 1 species
UACGGGGGGGGCAAGCGUUGUUCGGAAUUACUGGGCGUAAAGGGCUCGUAGGCGGCCAACUAAGUCAGACGUGAAAUCCCUCGGCUUAACCGGGGAACUGCGUCUGAUACUGGAUGGCUUGAAUCCGGGAGAGGGAUGCGGAAUUCCAGGUGUAGCGGUGAAAUGCGUAGAUAUCUGGAGGAACACUGGUGGCGAAGGCGGCAUCCUGGACCGGCAUUGACGCUGAGGAGCGAAAGCCAGGGGAGCAAACGGG